GGUCAUCCGCAAGCAAGGAGCAGUCAACAUUGGCUCAGGCAUUUGUUAUGGAAACCCGUGCGACCCGUUUGGCGGAACAGUGUCUUAUGUAAAGCUCUAUUUGUGUCGGCCAAGUAUUUGAGAGACGGACCCGUCACAAGAAUGUUAUGUAAACGUUGUGUUCAGCAGGCUGUUCUCCAGUCUCAUUUCUGUGUUUAUGUUUAUUUCAUUGGCAGUAAAACUAUAAUAUGCAUUCCCGUGGGAGAUAUGUCGCUAUUUGUGUAUGUACCUGGUACUGAAAUAAAAGGGAAAAAAAAAGAA